rnacentral:rRNA from 1 species
GGGGAAUUUUCCGCAAUGGGCGAGAGCCUGACGGAGCAACGCCGCGUGAGGGAGGAAGGCCUGUGGGUUGUAAACCUCUUUUCUCAAGGAAGAAGUUCUGACGGUACUUGAGGAAUCAGCAUCGGCUAACUCCGUGCCAGCAGCCGCGGUAAGACGGAGGAUGCAAGCGUUAUCCGGAAUUAUUGGGCGUAAAGCGUCCGUAGGCGGUUUCAAAAGUCUGUUGUUAAAUCCCACAGCUCAACUGUGGAUCGGCAAUGGAAACUGUGAGACUAGAGAGUGGUAGGGGUAGAGGGAAUUCCUAGUGUAGCGGUGAAAUGCGUAGAUAUUAGGAAGAACACCAGUGGCGAAGGCGCUCUACUGGGCCAUUACUGACGCUGAUGGACGAAAGCUAGGGGAGCGAAAGGGAUUAGAUACCCCUGUAGUCCUAGCUGUAAACGAUGGAUACUAGGUGUUGGCCGUAUCGACCCGGUCAGUAUCGAAGCAAACGCGUUAAGUAUCCC